rfam:Tinamus guttatus contig40389, whole genome shotgun sequence.
UAGACAGAAGCCGGUUGGUUAAGGCAUUUAGCUGUUAACUAAAAUGUUAUGGGAUCGAGGCCCAUCUGUCUAG